rnacentral:misc_RNA from 1 species
UUUGGUUGUUUGCAUGGCUCUUUAGCCCUGCGAAGUGGCCGUUUCCCAUGGCGGCUUCGGGGAUGUCAUUCGUAAAGGUGCAUGAGUGGUGUUUGGUUUGAUACGGGUGGUUGGCUCCCUGCUUGAGCAGGCACGGCCACGCGUACAUYCCUUUUCAGUUUUACGGCAAGGCUUGUAUCGUCUUGAAYGUAUAUGUGGGUUUCCUGUGUUGCAUACCUGAUCAACGGCAUCGUCUUGAUCAAAAGCGUACCUUUUUCGUCAGGCGUUGCACYCGUAACGUCGGAUGAACCAUGUAGCAUCCUCUUUGAUCCAUAUAGUYGAUGAGCAUUCGUUGAUUGUUUGGCCCAUUGAGGGUGGCUCGGUUUCUUGGAUAUGUAAGCCAAAGUGGGCAUGGGUUYGUAUGAUCCUUUUAUUGCCCUCAUUGAGCGUUCUCGCUUCUUUUACACGACCRCCUUUCACGUAUGGCACGUCCCAGCGUGUUUGGCUACGUCGAAGAGGAA